rnacentral:rRNA from 1 species
UACGUAGGGCGCAAGCGUUGUCCGGAAUUAUUGGGCGUAAAGAGCUCGUAGGCGGUUUGUCGCGUCUGUCGUGAAAGCCCACGGCUUAACUGUGGGUCUGCGGUGGAUACGGGCAGACUAGAGGCAGGUAGGGGAGACUGGAAUACUUGGUGUAGCAGUGAAAUGCGUAGAUAUCAAGUGGAACACCAGUGGCGAAGGCGAGUCUCUGGACAUUUCCUGACGCUGAGGCACGAAAGCCAGGGGAGCAAACGGG